GCUCCGGUGGCCUAAUGGAUAGAGCGCCCACCUUGGAUGCGGGAGGUCGUGGGUUCGAUCCCCGGUCGAGUCA